CCAAACAAAGACAGAAGGAAAGACCGAAAGAUAAACAAAGGAAGAAAAGAAAAGAAACAAAAAAGAUGAAGAUCCCUUCUUGGUGUGACCCA
rnacentral:ribozyme from 14 species